rnacentral:lncRNA from 1 species
AAUAAUAUGGCUGAGAUAGGGUGGCUUCAGAAUCAUCAUCUCUUUCAUUUUCUCUUUGAAUAAUAUGGAUUAAAAAAAAAAAACAAAUUUUCAAAAAAAUCGAUCAUGGAUUAAAAAAAAAAAAUCACAAAUUUUCAAAAAAUUCUAUCAUGGAUUACAAAAAAAAAAUUCGAUCAUGGAUUAAAAAAAAAAAUCACAAAUUUUCAAAAAAUUCU